UACCAGCACCCCGAGUGGUGGGGACGUUUAUUGGGCCUAAAGCAUCCGUAGCCGGUUCUACAAGUCUUCCGUUAAAUCCAGCUGCUUAACAGAUGGGCUGCGGAAGAUACUAUGGAGCUAGGAGGCGGGAGAGGCAAGCGGUACUCGAUGGGUAGGGGUAAAAUCCGUUGAUCCAUUGAAGACCACCAGUGGCGAAGGCGGCUUGCCAGAACGCGCUCGACGGUGAGGGAUGAAAGCUGGGGGAGCAAACCGG
rnacentral:rRNA from 1 species